UCCAUGAUGGUCCAAUGGUUAAGACUGUCUGCUUCCAAUGCAGGGGGUCCAGGUUCAAUCCUUGGUCAGGGAA
rnacentral:tRNA from 1 species